AUUGAACGCUGGCGGCAUGCCUUACACAUGCAAGUCGAACGGGGUUGAGGAGCUUGCUCUUCAAUCUAGUGGCGAACGGGUGAGUAAAGCAUCGGAACGUACCCGGGAGUGGGGGAUAACGUAGCGAAAGUUACGCUAAUACCGCAUAUUCUGGGAGCAGGAAAGCAGGGGACCGCAAGGCCUUGUGCUUCCGCAGCGGCCGAUGUCGGAUUAGCUAGUUGGUGAGGUAAAGGCUCACCAAGGCGACGAUCCGUAGCUGGUCUGAGAGGAUGAUCAGCCACACUGGGACUGAGACACGGCCCAGACUCCUACGGGAGGCAGCAGUGGGGAAUUUUGGACAAUGGGGGCAACCCUGAUCCAGCCAUGCCGCGUGAGUGAAGAAGGCCUUCGGGUUGUAAAGCUCUUUCGCGAGGGAAGAAAACGCACUCUCUAAUACAGGGUGUGGAUGACGGUACCUUGAUAAGAAGCACCGGCUAACUACGUGCCAGCAGCCGCGGUAA
rnacentral:rRNA from 1 species